rnacentral:rRNA from 1 species
CCUACGGGGGGCUGCAGUGAGGAAUAUUGGUCAAUGGGCGAGAGCCUGAACCAGCCAAGUCGCGUGAAGGAUGAAGGAUCCAUGGUUUGUAAACUUCUUUUAUAUGGGAAUAAAGUGAGGCACGUGUUCCUUUUUGUAUGUACCAUAUGAAUAAGCAUCGGCUAACUCCGUGCCAGCAGCCGCGGUAAUACGGAGGAUGCGAGCGUUAUCCGGAUUUAUUGGGUUUAAAGGGUGCGUAGGUGGUUAAUUAAGUCAGCGGUGAAAGGUUGUGGCUCAACCAUAAAAUUGCUGUUGAAACUGGGUGGCUUGAGUAUAUGUGAGGUAGGCGGAAUGCGUGGUGUAGCGGUGAAAUGCAUAGAUAGCACGCAGAACUCCGAUUGCGAAGGCAGCUUAAUAAAGUAUAACUGACACUGAAGCACGAAAGCGUGGGGAUCAAACAGGAUUAGAUACCCCAGUAGUC